GAUGAACGCUGGCGGCGUGCCUAAUACAUGCAAGUCGAGCGAACGGACGAGAAGCUUGCUUCUCUGAUGUUAGCGGCGGACGGGUGAGUAACACGUGGAUAACCUACCUAUAAGACUGGGAUAACUUCGGGAAACCGGAGCUAAUACCGGAUAAUAUUUUGAACCGCAUGGUUCAAAAGUGAAAGACGGUCUUGCUGUCACUUAUAGAUGGAUCCGCGCUGCAUUAGCUAGUUGGUAAGGUAACGGCUUACCAAGGCAACGAUGCAUAGCCGACCUGAGAGGGUGAUCGGCCACACUGGAGCUGAGACACGGUCCAGCCUCCUACGGGAGGCAGCGGUAGGGAAUCUACCGCAAUGGGCGAAAGCCUGACGGAGCAACGCCGCGUGAGUGAUGAAGGUCUGCGGAUCGUAAAACUCUGUUAUUAGGGAAGAACAUAUGUGUAAGUAACUGUGCGCAUCUGGACGGAACCUAAGCAGAAAGCCACGGCUAACUACGU
rnacentral:rRNA from 1 species